CUAACACAUGCAAGUCGAACGGCAGCACAGAGGAGCUUGCUCCUUGGGUGGCGAGUGGCGGACGGGUGAGGAAUACAUCGGAAUCUACUCUGUCGUGGGGGAUAACGUAGGGAAACUUACGCUAAUACCGCAUACGACCUACGGGUGAAAGCAGGGGAUCUUCGGACCUUGCGCGAUUGAAUGAGCCGAUGUCGGAUUAGCUAGUUGGCGGGGUAAAGGCCCACCAAGGCGACGAUCCGUAGCUGGUCUGAGAGGAUGAUCAGCCACACUGGAACUGAGACACGGUCCAGACUCCUACGGGAGGCAGCAGUGGGGAAUAUUGGACAAUGGGCGCAAGCCUGAUCCAGCCAUACCGCGUGGGUGAAGAAGGCCUUCGGGUUGUAAAGCCCUUUUGUUGGGAAAGAAAUCCAACUGGUUAAUACCCGGUUGGGAUGACGGUACCCAAAGAAUAAGCACCGGCUAACUUCGUGCCAGCAGCCGCGGUAAUACGAAGGGUGCAAGCGUUACUCGGAAUUACUGGGCGUAAAGCGUGCGUAGGUGGUUAUUUAAGUCCGUUGUGAAAGCCCUGGGCUCAACCUGGGAACUGCAGUGGAUACUGGAUGACUAGAAUGUGGUAGAGGGUAGCGGAA
rnacentral:rRNA from 1 species